rnacentral:rRNA from 1 species
AACGUAGGAGACAAACGUUAUCCGGAGUUACUGGGCGUAAAGGGCGCGUAGGCGGUUUCGUAAGUCUGGCGUGAAAUUUCUCGGCUUAACCGAGGCAGGUCGUCGGACACUGCGAGGCUAGAGGACGGUAGAGGCGUGUGGAAUUCCGGGUGUAGUGGUGAAAUGCGUAGAUAUCGGGAGGAACACCAGUGGCGAAGGCGACUACCUGGCCUGUUCUUGACGCUGAGGCGCGAAAGCUAGGGGAGCAAACGGG